CAGUGAUCUCACCACCAGGCAUUGACACCUGACAGGUGAGGUUGGUGCUGUGGUGCUGGAGCCCUGGUGUGAGGGUGAGCACUGAGGAGUUGGGAGCCCUGGGACCCAGGGGUGUGAGGUUGACCCCCAUCCAGGAGAAGACCCGUGGUGUCUCUCUGUCACAGGCCCAUGGCAGUGUACAGGUAAUGUUGUUGGUGUGGCCAGAUU